AUGAACGCUGGCGGCGUGCCUAAUACAUGCAAGUCGAGCGAACGGACGAGAAGCUUGCUUCUCUGAUGUUAGCGGCGGACGGGUGAGUAACACGUGGAUAACCUACCUAUAAGACUGGGAUAACUUCGGGAAACCGGAGCUAAUACCGGAUAAUAUUUUGAACCGCAUGGUUCAAAAGUGAAAGACGGUCUUGCUGUCACUUAUAGAUGGAUCCGCGCUGCAUUAGCUAGUUGGUAAGGUAACGGCUUACCAAGGCAACGAUGCAUAGCCGACCUGAGAGGGUGAUCGGCCACACUGGAACUGAGACACGGUCCAGACUCCUACGGGAGGCAGCAGUAGGGAAUCUCCGCAAUGGGCGAAAGCCUGACGGAGCAACGCCGCGUGAGUGAUGAAGGUCUUCGGAUCGUAAAACUCUGUUAUUAGGGAAGAACAUAUGUGUAAGUAACUGUGCACAUCUUGACGGUACCUAAUCAGAAAGCCACGGCUAACUACGUG
rnacentral:rRNA from 1 species